UAUAUAUAAUCAACAAUCAUGAUAAUAGCCUCCAUCAAUCAAAAGAAAAUGUGAUGCACACCACAAAACCUAAACUCAUUUCAAAGUAUUUUCAUGCCGUCAUUUUCUUUUCUCUGUUGUUUUAAAAGAAUUAACACAACAAGCAAUAAAGAAACGAUAAGUUAUAAGUAAGAGUUCCUUUUUCAUCCUCAUUUGCAUAUGUGCAUAUCU
rnacentral:ribozyme from 14 species